rnacentral:lncRNA from 1 species
ACUCCAACCUCUGCAGCAGUGACCUCAACUCCCAGCACUUCAAAACCCAGACAGAAACGUCCAACAAACUCCCAGUCCAGGAGCGCUGCAAAACCAACGCCAGUCUAGUUUGGGGUCUCUAUAAUCCUGCUCCUUUGGCUGCCAGCCAUCUCCAUAAAAAAAGAAUUUGAAAGGCUUCCAUUCUUUCAGAGACCUGUUUCCCGGGACUGGCUGCAAGGGAGAGAUGCACUGACCUUCUGCCAGGUAUAGAACUAUUGAAUGGUACAGUUUGAGAUCUUCGAAACCAUCAGGACUGAUCAUUUUCUGGCUACUUUCUACAUAGGAAUCCUAGAGUUCCUUGGAGAGGAUAUGAAGGUUAUUCUCAGGCCAUGCAGAUGGGCAAGAAAGGAUGUGCGUCCAUGGUUCCUCUUCAAAUCCAACCAAAACAGCCUUGCUUCCGUUGGCUUUAUAUAAUACUGCAACUCUUGAUAAUCUGAUUUAACACAAAUUUCCUCAUUGAGUUUCUCCUCAUGAAGAAACGGCCUCAGUGAGGUAAAUCGGAAUGCACAGGAGCACAUAGCAGGUUAGUGCAGACCAGAAAUCAAACCCAGGCUUUCUGACUGCUCAAUAGACCACAAUCUACCAUGCUACCAUGGAAACUUUAAAACAGAUGAAAGUAAAAACAAACAAACAACAACUUAAAAAAACAAAAACAAA